rnacentral:rRNA from 1 species
CCAGCGGUUCGGCCGGGCACUCUGUGGAGACUGCCUGCGAAAGCAGGAGGAAGGUGGGGAUGACGUCUAGUCCGCAUGGCCCUUACGGCCUGGGCGACACGCGUGCUACAAUGGGCGGCACAACGCGCUGCUACCUGGUAACAGGACGCCAAUCGCUUAAAACCGCCCUCAGUUCGGAUUGGGGUCUGCAACUCGACCCCAUGAAGCCGGAAUCGCUAGUAAUCGCGGAUCAGCCAUG